rnacentral:rRNA from 1 species
GGAUGAGCCCGCGGCCUAUCAGCUUGUUGGUGGGGUAGUGGCCUACCAAGGCGACGACGGGUAGCCGGUCUGAUAGGGUGACCGGCCACACUGGAACUGAGACACGGCCCAGACUCCUACGGGAGGCAGCAGUGGGGAAUAUUGGACAAUGGGCGGAAGCCUGACCCAGCAACGCCGCGUGAGGGAUGACGGCCUUCGGGUUGUAAACCGCUUUCAGUACCGACGAAGCGCAAGUGACGGUAGGUACAGAAGAAGCACCGGCCAACUACGUGACAGCAGCCGCGGCCG